rnacentral:rRNA from 1 species
GAUGAACGCUGGCGGCGUGCCUAAUACAUGCAAGUCGAGCGAACGGACGAUUAUCUUGCUUCUCUGAUGUUAGCGGCGGACGGGUGUGUAACACGUGUAUAACCUACCUAUAAUACUGGGAUAACUUCGGGAAACCGGAUCUAAUACCGGAUAAUCUUUUGAACCGCAGGGUUCAAAAGUGAAAUACGGUCUUUCUGUCACUUAUAGAUGGAUCCGCGCUGGAUUAGCUGGUUGGUAAGGUAACGGCUUACCAAGGGAACGAGGCGUAGGCGAAGUGAGGGGGUGGUAGCCCACACUGGAACUGAGCCGCCGUCCAGACUCCUACGGGAGGCAGCAGUAGGGAAUGUUCCGCAAUGGGCGAAAGUAUGACGGAGCGGCGCGGCGUGAGAGAUGACGACCUUCGGAUCGUAAUGCUCUGUUAUUAGGGAAGAACAGAUGUGUAAGUAACUGUGCACAUAUUGACGGUACCUAAUCAGAAAGCCCCGGCUAACUACGUG